CCGGCGUACUCACUUCUCCCCAGUCCCUCCGCUUUCCACGCCGUCUCCUCCACAGCCCCAUAGCGCCUCAGCGGCUUCUCGGCUUCCAGGGCAGUUAUUCUCUGGAAAAGGAUGGACUGGAACUAAAUGAUAAAGACAAAGCCUCAGUGAGGUUUAGUGAUGUUCCCAAAGUCACAUAGCUGAUGCUGGGCAUUGAACCGAGUCCAUGUGACACUAAGGCCUAGGUGGUCAACCACUGAUCUACCCUGCAGUUAAGGCAAGACAUAGGUACAAGCCAGGGGCCAGCACUGGAGUGACUGGCUCAUGAUUUAUGCCAAAUAAAUGAUGUCUAUUUCAUUUUC